UAGAGUCUUUUUAGAGUCUUUU
rnacentral:snRNA from 1 species